AUAUUAACUGUGCAAAGGUAGCAUAAUCGUUAGUCUUUUAAUUGAAGGCUGGAUUGAAUGGUUGGACGAGGUAUAAACUGUUUUAUUUAAAUUUAUAUAAAAUUUUAUUUUUUAGUCAAAAAGCUAAAAUUCUAUUAAAAGACGAGAAGACCCUAUAGAUCUUUAUAUUAUUAUAUAUAAAAAUUAAUAAGAAUACUAUAAUUUUUAUUUUUAAAAUAUUUUGUUGGGGAGACAGCAAGAUUUUUUUAACUCUUGUUUUAUAAAUACAAUUAUUUUUGAUUAUUUGAUCCGUUAUUAUUGAUUAAAAAAUUAAGUUACCUUAGGGAUAACAGCGUAAUUUUUUUGGAGAGUUCAUAUCGAUAAAAAAGUUUGCGACCUCGAUGUUGGAUUAA
rnacentral:rRNA from 1 species